rnacentral:tRNA from 1 species
GGGGCCGUAGUCUAGCUUGGUAUGAUGCGUGGCUCGGGCCCACGUGGACCGGGGUUCAAAUCCCCGCGGCCCCA